GUCUCUUCGGAGAUACCCAAUAAAAUUGGAACAACACAUAGAAGAUUAGCAUGGCCCCUACUCAAGGAUGAUGCACAAAUCGAGAAAUGGUCCAUCUCUUC
rfam:Citrus clementina cultivar Clemenules unplaced genomic scaffold scaffold_3, whole genome shotgun sequence.